CCCUUAGAUGUUCUGGGCCGCACGCGCGCUACACUGACGCAUUCAACGAGUCUCCUUGGCCGAUAGGUCUGGGUAAUCUUUGAACGCUGUUCGUGAUUGGGAUAGACCUUUGCAAUUAUGGGUCUUCAACGAGGAAUUCCUAGUAAACGCAAGUCAUCAGCUUGCAUUGAUUACGUCCCUGCCCUUUGUACACACCGCCCGUCGCACCUACCGAUUGAAUGGUCCGGUGAAAUCUCGGGACGGCGGCUUGGUCGCUUGCGUCCGACUGCUGAAACUUGAUUAAACCAUAUCAUUUAGAGGAAGGUGAAGUCGUAACA
rnacentral:rRNA from 1 species